UGGGAAGUAAAAUGUCGUAACAAGGUCUCCGUUGGUGAACCAGCGGAGGGAUCAUUACCGAGUUUACAACUCCCAAACCCCUGUGAACAUACCACUUGUUGCCUCGGCGGAUCAGCCCGCUCCCGGUAAAACGGGACGGCCCGCCAGAGGACCCCUAAACUCUGUUUCUAUAUGUAACUUCUGAGUAAAACCAUAAAUAAAUCAAAACUUUCAACAACGGAUCUCUUGGUUCUGGCAUCGAUGAAGAACGCAGCAAAAUGCGAUAAGUAAUGUGAAUUGCAGAAUUCAGUGAAUCAUCGAAUCUUUGAACGCACAUUGCGCCCGCCAGUAUUCUGGCGGGCAUGCCUGUUCGAGCGUCAUUUCAACCCUCAAGCACAGCUUGGUGUUGGGACUCGCGUUAAUUCGCGUUCCCCAAAUUGAUUGGCGGUCACGUCGAGCUUCCAUAGCGUAGUAGUAAAACCCUCGUUACUGGUAAUCGUCGCGGCCACGCCGUUAAACCCCAACUUCUGAAUGUGACCUCGGAUCAGGUAGAAAACCCAAAAUCCCC
rnacentral:rRNA from 1 species